rnacentral:rRNA from 1 species
UAGGGAAUCUUCGGCAAUGGGGGCAACCCUGACCGAGCAACGCCGCGUGAGUGAAGAAGGUUUUCGGAUCGUAAAGCUCUGUUGUAAGAGAAGAACGUGUGUGAGAGUGGAAAGUUCACACAGUGACGGUAACUUACCAGAAAGGGACGGCUAACUACGUGCCAGCAGCCGCGGUAAUACGUAGGUCCCGAGCGUUGUCCGGAUUUAUUGGGCGUAAAGCGAGCGCAGGCGGUUUAAUAAGUCUGAAGUUAAAGGCAGUGGCUUAACCAUUGUUCGCUUUGGGAACUGUUAAACUGGAGUGCAGAAGGGGAGAGUGGAAUUCCAUGUGUAGCGGUGAAAUGCGUAGAUAUAUGGAGGAACACCGGUGGCGAAAGCGGCUCUCUAGUCUGUAACUGACGCUGAGGCUCGAAAGCGUGGGGAGCAAACAGG